GAGCCCAAAUCAAGAAUUAGACUCUUAAACAUAGAGAACAAGCUGAUGGUUGUCAGAGAGGAGGUUGGUGGGGUGAUGGGUAAAAUAGGUGAAGAAGAUUAAGAGUACAUUAUUGUGAUAAGCACUG